rnacentral:piRNA from 1 species
GAGCGGACAGAUUGAUGUGGAAAAG